UGCGGUGGACAUGGGGUUUGCAAUACUCUGAAUAAUUGUCAACGUGAUGUUGCAUAUUCUCCUCAAACUUGUAGGCAAGAUAGUUCAUCACCAGGAGGAAGUAUUGAUGAUGGGUUUUGGAUUUUAGGAAAAAGUACACCCUUGUUUGUGAAAUGACAUGCUGUUCCUCAGAAAAAUGGCCUUUAAUCAGUUGCUACAUUUUUCUACCUUUCCUCAUUUUAACUGCCAUCAUUGGUCUUAAAUGGAACAAAAUGAAGGGAUUUUGACACUGAGCAAAAAGUGUAAGUGGAAGAAGACAGCAGUAGUAGCAGCAACAGUAACAGCAGUAGUGACAGCAACCAGUCAUAGAGUAACUACAUGAUAACAUCAAAAGCCAUAAGAUAGAGAAAGGAUAUUACCAAGAAACUUACCAUUAACUGGCUUGAUUCAACAAUGAAAACAAAAAUCGCCUUUUUUCUCCUUUCAUUAUGGCUUAAAGCUUUCAAUUGCACAAACAAAAUAAAUUAUAUGACAGGAAGUA
rnacentral:lncRNA from 10 species